rnacentral:rRNA from 1 species
GAUGAACGCUGGCGGCGUGCUUAACACAUGCAAGUCGAACGGAAAGGCUCCUGCUUGCAGGGGUACUCGAGUGGCGAACGGGUGAGUAACACGUGGGUGAUCUGCCCUGCACUUCGGGAUAAGCCUGGGAAACUGGGUCUAAUACCGGAUAGGACGAUGGUUUGGAUGCCAUUGUGGAAAGUUUUUCGGUGUGGGAUGAGCUCGCGGCCUAUCAGCUUGUUGGUGGGGUAAUGGCCUACCAAGGCGUCGACGGGUAGCCGGCCUGAGAGGGUGUACGGCCACAUUGGGACUGAGAUACGGCCCAGACUCCUACGGGAGGCAGCAGUGGGGAAUAUUGCACAAUGGGCGGAAGCCUGAUGCAGCGACGCCGCGUGGGGGAUGACGGCCUUCGGGUUGUAAACUCCUUUCGUCAGGGACGAAGCGAAAGUGACGGUACCUGGAUAAGAAGCACCGGCUAACUACGUG